GUUGAGACACACAAAAUAUAUCAAAACAGUGAGCUAUUUAGUGAUAGUUCAAAGAGAGAAGAAAAAUACGGAGGAGGAGGAUAGAAAAGAAAAAAGGGUGUUUUCUCUCUAAAUUGUUGUUGAAUUCAAGCAAAGGCAAGGAGAAUGAACUGAUCACUUCAGCAAUAUCAAAGGAUAAGUAGACAAUUUGAAAAGUAGCCAAGGUACAAGGUUGGGUCGCUACUGCCAGGUCUAGAAUUUUUGAGUGGGAAUGGGAAAAAGAACAAUGGAACGUCUUUUGUUUAAUAUGUAAAUAUUGUAAUAGAAUUUAAUAGUAUAAGUUGCCGUUAA